GGCACAAACCAAGGCCAAGACGUUUCCCAUUGGAAAAAAAAAGUAGUGUUUAAACUUUAAAUUCUCUUUGCAAAUAACAAUGAAUGAUAGUUGCAGGUUCUUUUAGAUGUUUUAAUUAAUUUAAAGUAUUUUUACUCAGGUAAUCAUAAUAUAGAGAAAAUAAGUAAAAAUUCCUAUUAUGCAUAAAGAUACUUCUGUCGUAUUGGUCAGUGCCACUGAUAUUUUAACCGCAAGAAAACUUAUCUCUGAAAUUAUUGAUCAUCAAAUAAGUGAAGACAAUACACAGAGGGGGAAUAUUUGGCAUAUAGUAAACAAAUAUUACCAAGUGGAUGUGCAACUGUUUCCAUUAGGUGAUGAUGAUAUUCUACCUGAAGAUGUGUUACCACUUAUAGAAGCUCAUAUUAUUUAUCUAAAUGCUGAAGAGAAUGAAGAAGAAGCGGAGCGUCGCCGGGCGGCGGUCGCGGGCGCGGCCGUGCGGCUCGUGGUGACGGAGGCGGCGGGCGGCGGCGUGGUGGAGUGGGCCGCGCGGCGCCGCUACGAGCCCGUGGCGCUGGGCACGCCCGCCGCCGACGACGACGACGAGCCGCGCGGCCUGCCGCGAGUGCGGGACGCUCUUCACGCGCACACGUGGCGCGGCCUUGUGCGCCGGGACGAGCCCUCCGCGUGCUCCGCGCCGCUUGCAGUGUUCGCAGACGGGUCGGAGUCGGAGGGCGCGGGCUCGGGGGGCUCGUGGGGCCCGUGGCAGGACGCGCUGAGCUCGCUGGCGCAGGCCGUGCGCUCGCAGCGCGCCGCGCCGCCGCCCGCCGACCACGAGCGGCGGCGACGAGCCGAGCUGUUGCUGCGAGCCGCCCUGGCCGAGCCUCCCACACACCAAUAAAAAGAUUUGUUUCAAUUCAAUAUUUUAUUUAUCAGAGCAACAAUAUAAAGAUAUGUGCGUAUACGCGGCCGCCCUCUUAUCACAGAUUGAUAUAUUUUGCUUAUUAUCUCUUUGGACGCAAUUCUAACAUUAAAACUAAGUAUAUAAAACAUCAUCAAGCUUGGACACAAUAAAAUAUGAUGUGUAGAUAUAAUACAACAAUAUGUUCUGCUUACAAUAUAAUAUUUUAAGUUCACGAACAGAUAACAGAAACUUUUUUAGGCUGGGUUGCACCAACUAACUUUAGCAAUAAGCAAACAUGUUAAAG